GCUGCAUUAUAUAAGUUAUCGUUUAUUUGAUAGUACCUUACUACUUGGAUAACCGUGGUAAUUCUAGAGCUAAUACAUGCUAAAAAUCCCGACUUCGGAAGGGAUGUAUUUAUUAGAUUAAAAACCAAUGCCCUCUGGGCUCUUUGGUGAUUCAUGAUAACUUCUCGAAUCGCACGGCCUUGCGCCGGCGAUGGUUCAUUCAAAUUUCUUCCCUAUCAACUUUCGAUGUUUGGGUAUUGGCCAAACAUGGUUGCAACGGGUAACGGAGGGUUAGGGCUCGACCCCGGAGAAGGAGCCUGAGAAACGGCUACUACAUCCAAGGAAGGCAGCAGGCGCGCAAAUUACCCAAUCCCGACACGGGGAGGUAGUGACAAUAAAUACUGAUACAG
rnacentral:rRNA from 1 species